ACCAACAUAAACCACUUAUUUUUCCGUUUUGGAAAGCAAAAAAUGAAAGAGAAAAUUGUAGAGAUCCUCUGAGUCCAAAUCUAUUAGAUGGAUACGGUGGUCCUCCAAUUGCAGACUUUGGGCUGAUGCAGACUUGUUAUUUACCUUUCCUAUAUCUCAGUAUUAUUUUCCCUUUUUGCUUUCCAUGUGCUUCAAGGGAUGAAGAAAAUUGGUUGCUGAAAAUGGUCAAGGAGUUCAUUAUGGGGAAAUGCCAGUGCAAGAUCUCCCUGUUCAGGAUUUAUAGGACUGGGGAAUGGUCAAAGGUUCCAUAAGGGUUGGGAGGAUGGUGAAACCGUCCACAAUGCUUUACCUUUCUACACAUUUUAGCUUUCAUUGCUUUGUAGCUGCUCCAGUAUGUGAAGUACAUCCUGACCUGGUACUGCUUAGAACAGGGAAAGGGUAUAAGUUGCACAGUCCAAGUGUGAGAUAUUUGGCUUCUUUGUCGAUUUAUAUGAUUCUUCCAACACAACAAAGUGCUGAGCUUUCCCUGAAUUAGCAGUUAAAUAUGCAAGAUAUCCCCCAAAGAAAAUCCGUUGGAAAAAGUGAACCAAGAUUGGCCGAUCGAGAUGCUGAUGGGGAGUAUAUGACUGCUUUACCUGAUCAACCCUCCACAUCCAAAAUGGUUUUAUAACUUUCCAGAAUGUUCAUGAAAAUGUUAUUGAUAAGAUGAAGAAUGAAAGGUUCGGGUGACCUGUUGAACCAGAUAUACUAGUAGUCUACUGAACAGAGCAGAUGUAUAAUAUCUUCUAUGGAAUAAAUAAUUAGCUCCUUCAUUGUUUUAUACAAAUUACCAAAUUAAAAUUUGCAGUUAUAUUGUUCUGAAAUAAUUACCAUGCAUAUGUUGACACUUCUUUGAUUGAGGCUUUCUCAAGUAAAGUAAACGUUUUCCAUAGAAUUGCUUCUGAUGACUUUCCUGUGGAAAUUAAGCAUCAUUUUCAUACAGACCAUGAGGUCUUACUAUAUCACAAUAGGUGUACAUGUCCAAUGCUUAACUUUUCUUAUGUUUUGAGAGCUUGCAGCCUAAAACUUGACCAUUAUAGACAUAAUUCACAUUACUUGCUCGCCUGGUGGGUUUCUAGCAGACACUAGAGAAGUGAGGCAUGCUCUAGACAUGUGCUGAUGGGAUUUCAUCUGCUGGCCUGGUUUCAGAAUCUGCUCUUCCACCUCUUUCACUUCUGCUGUUAUCCGCAAAUUUUAAGCUUGCUUGAUGUAGGCCUUUCUCCUUCUCCUCCGUACUCCAUUCUGACAAAUAGUACUCUUCCUCUGUAGCAACUGUUUUAGAUGAUGGACCACAAAACAUUCCACCCCAUUGUGGGAAAUAUACAAAACAAAUUGGAAAA